UACGUAGGGGGCUAGCGUUGUCCGGAAUCAUUGGGCGUAAAGAGCGUGUAGGCGGUCCGGUAAGUCCGUUGUGAAAGUCAGGGGCUCAACCCUUGAAUGCCGGCGGAUACUGUCGGGCUAGAGUCCGGAAGAGGCAAGUGGAAUUCCCGGUGUAGCGGUGAAAUGCGCAGAUAUCAGGAGGAAUACCGAUGGCGAAGGCAGGUCUCUGGGCUGACACUGACGCUCAUGCACGAAAGCGUGGGGAGCAAACAGG
rnacentral:rRNA from 1 species